UGGCAUGACCGACUGGGGUUAUAGGACAGCAACACUGUACAACAGAGACUAGAUGAAGUGUUUGGAAUGACACGCCAAAGAGAGUGAAAGCCUCGUAAUUAAAAAUCAAAGUUGGCAAGCUGAAUCCUGAGUAGCACGGUACACGAGAAAUUCCGUGUGAAUUCGCGAGGACCACCUCGUAAGGCUAAAUACUCACUUGUGACCGAUAGUGAACCAGUACCGCGAGGGAAAGGUGAAAAGAACCCCGGAAGGGGAGUGAAAUAGAACAUGAAACCGUGAGCUUACAAGCAAUGGGAGGACGAUUUAACGUCUGACCGUGUGCCUGUUGAAGAAUGAGCCGGCGACUUAUAGGCAGUGGCAGGUUAAGGGGAAAAUCCCGAAGCCAAAGCGAAAGCGAGUUUGAUAAGAGCGAUAGUCACUGUUUAUAGACCCGAACCCGGGUGAUCUAACCAUGGGCAGGAUGAAGCUUGGG
rnacentral:rRNA from 1 species